AUUGCAUUUCACUUCUUCCCAGCUGAUUACAAGUGAGAUCUUUCCUGUUCCCGUAGUAAAGGCUCUUCUCUACCCUGGAGCUCUUGCAAAUGGCCUUGUAAGGAACAUGACUGUUCCGAGCUGGGAUAACUUGUUAGAAAUCUAUAACUUGACAAAUGCAAAGGAAGCCAAUCCAAUUACUGAUCUCCAGCGCUUAGAGGUUCGUGUUGAACCAAUUUUUUCCUUUUCUGUUAUUUUGAAACAUAUUUAUUUUAGUUAAAGGAAGCGAUCUUUUUUUCUUAUUUGGUAUUUCGCUGAUUUGCCAGCUUGAUUAAAUUUGGUAUCUUGCUAAACUCUCGUCAUAAAUUGUCUAUUUAGGAACCUAUCUUGGUUUUUCAAUUGUACUGCACACUGUUAAUGUUUGAAUAAAAAACUGGGUUAACUUAGACAAUUAAGAUAGUUGAGUACUCUCCUUUCUUAUUGACUGUGAAACAGUUCAGGGAGGUGAACACUUCAAAGCAGAUAUCUCGGAUCCAGAUUCAUCCUAAUCUACCUAAAAUUUCAUCUCAUACUUCCCCUUAAAUGAUCAUUAGAUAUGUACUACAAUUCUUAGCAGGGUUUAGCAAGCAUUUAGGCUUUUUGAAAAUAUCUAACAGUAAUCUCAUCUCUGUUUCUGAUUCAUUCACCAGGUUCUAACAGGAAGCUACUUCUCUGUGGCUGGAGCGUUUGUGGGUGUUCUGAAGUCAGGGAGGAUGAGCAUGUUUGGGACACUUCUAUUAAUUUGGGGCCUCAUCAAAGAAGGGAUCCUAGGAAAGCCUGUGAACACUGAUCCUACUAGAGCCGUGU
rnacentral:lncRNA from 1 species